GUCUUCGUGGUGUAGUGGUCAGCACAACCGAUGCGUAACUGAGAGGUCCGUGGUUCGAUUCCCGGCGAAGGCG
rnacentral:tRNA from 1 species